AGAAGAAGAAGACUGCACGCAUGCGCAAUUGAAGCUGCUCCGUGAGACAAAGAAGGACGAAGGCUAACUACUUCCAGAAUCCCGAUUUUAAAGCAAUUUGGUGCGCCAUCCAUUUAUCACAAGUUGGCUGUUAUAAAGUUUCCAAACUGACCAAAGACCAACGAAUGACUUCUGAAGAAGGGUGGAUUUAUUUGUAGUUUAGUUAAACAAUAAUUUGCCCCGUCAGUGAUAUGGUUUGAAUGCUGCCUGAACGUUCCGAAUUUGGCAGACGCGGUGAGGACAAUGCUGAGGAAAAUUGCCACAAACAAAGUCCUGGAGCAGCUUGUCCUCCGUGGAAAGUCAGGAAAAGUGGCGUUUGAGGACUUGCCCCUUUACAGAAUAAUACAUAAGGCAUGCAGGGGUGUGUACAAGCAGAUGACCACAGCUGAAGUGGAUUGUGAGCUUGGAGAGGUCCUGAAACUGGCCACUUUUCAAAAGGGAGGUUCAAAAUUUGAGGAGAAGAGGAGGAAUUAAGAGGGAGGACAAAAAAACGAAAAAGAAACAAGCAAAAGAACAGAGUGAGAUGAGAGGAUUUGGGUUUCCCUGCUUGGGCUGCUGCCCCCGCGACCCGACCUCGGAUAAGCGGAAGAAGAUGGAUGGAUGGAUUUACUUCCAGGAAGAGAACCAAGAAGGGGCAGGAUACACUGACGCGCACGACCAAGACCACUGCAUUCCAUUCCA